UGGAGACAGGUGCUGCAUGGCUGUCGUCAGCUUGUGUCGUGAGAUGUGGGUUAAGUCCCGCAACGAGCGCAACCCUUGUCUUUAAUUGCCAUCAUUUAGUUGGGCACUUUAAAGAGACUGCCGGUGUUAAGCCGGAGGAAGUGGGGAUGACGUCAAGUCCUCAUGGCCUUUAUGCCCAGGGCUACACACGUGCUACAAUGGGCGGUACAAAGAGAAGCAACCUCGCGAGGGUGAGCAAAUCUCAAAAAGCCGUUCUCAGUUCGGAUUGAAGUCUGCAACUCGACUUCAUGAAGUCGGAAUCGCUAGUAAUCGCGGAUCAGCAUGCCGCGGUGAAUACGUUCCCGGGCCUU
rnacentral:rRNA from 1 species